rnacentral:lncRNA from 1 species
GCGGGUGACGUGGAAGCUGGGCUUGAAUGUGAAUGAACUGUGGCUUGAAUGACAGACAGGGCGGCGACGGCGGCACCCGGCUACAGUGGAGGGCCAGGUUCUGUCACUCCCGUAGGCCCCAGAAUGCUCCCGCCGGAUGGCUGGUAGGGCAAGACAGACAUGUGCUGUCCCCUUCAUAAAUAGCACGUGGCUUGUGUCCCGCCUAACGGGGUGGCAAUGAAGGCCGGAGCUAGGCUGAUUAAGAAAAGAAAAAGCAAAAAGCAAGAAGAAAGAGCCAGUUGAUGUAGCUACUAAAACAAUGCGAGGCUAGGAGUUGUAGCCUGUGCUGUGAUGAACAUGGCAAAGUCCCUGACAGGAAAAAGGAAGCUUGUUUGGCGGAGUGGUGCUGGUGGAGGGACAAAGGUCUCAGCUCAGUCACGUCGGUUGUCAGAAGCCACAUGGAGAUCUGGACUCUUCUGGGAUGAUGUUUAAGCUUCCACUGAUCCGAUUAACUGUGGCUUUGCUUGCUUGUGGUAUAGUUUAGGAAAGCGGAGUGUAUUCUGCAGCUUCCUGCAGUACAUCCCAACACGGUGGUCAGUGCUUCAGAGCCAUGUGGUGAGGCAAGUCGAUGAUUCCUCCUGGGCUGGGAGUGCUCCCACUGAUCUACCCGGAGAACCGUUUGGUGAACAGACAGCAAGUAUCCGCUCCGUGGGCUGGGCUGUGUGACACGAUGCAUACCGUUGCUCUGCACUGCCUUUUUCCAGGUCAGAGCUGAUCAUACAGCACAGCACUUAGCAAGAGCAGGGCCUGAAUUUUGGAGACACCUGUUGAAGUGACAACCUGUGGCCAAGUCACAGCUUUGGCAUAUGUAUGAAAGUUUCCAUGAAGAGGUUUUCAGUCCUCAGUGUCUUCAAGGUCAUCACCCAUGAUACAAAAUUAUAUUGUUAGACUACUACCUUUUCUCCAGCUCGUUUUGAAUGAGGUCUGUAACUCAAAGGUCUGUAACACAAGUGUACUUCCUCUACUC